GAUUGCAUCGGCGCGCACGCAAGAAGCCGUGCAUCGUACGGGCGUGUAUGUGUGUGUGUGUGUGCAUCCAGCUGCACAGCAUAAAAGAACUUUGAAGUCGUCUCUUGCUCAGCGUUUCUAGACAAAUCGAAACCCUACCCCCCCCCGAAACCCAGUUUUCCACCGCACGUGGUCGUACCCUCUCACGUGCCCCCCCCUCCUUGCUCUGAUAUGCUCCCCUUUCACCGAGCUGCGCGUGGCGUUAUGCUGGCGCCGGUGGGCAAUGCGGUUCUCCCUCUCCUGUUGCUGUUGCUGCAUUCCAGCUCGAUCAUCGUCACGGCUGCAACGUACGGGUCGAAGAUAGAGGCCGGGGAGACGGAGUGCUAUACCGAAGUCUUGGAGGCGGGCGGCACUCUGGGCUUUACCUUCCGCGUCACCGACGGCGGCGCCUUCGACGUCAACGCUGUGAUGAAGGUGCGCUUCACGCCGCCGGUGGGCAGGACCAUGGAUCUGAGCCGCUUCCACUACAACGCCCACUUUGCCGGGCUGCGGGACCGACAGCGCGAGACGGUGCUGAACACGUGGCAGCGCGCCACCGACGGCAGCUACAGCUACACGGCGCCGCCCAUCCUCAAGACCCGCCACGGGCUGCCAGAGGAGGUGUCUGUAUGCUUCGACAACAGCUUCUCCACCUUCUCGCCCAAGUGGGUGCGGUUCAAUAUCAUGAAGCGCGACGUGCUGGAGGUGGACCCAGACGCGGUGAAUAAGGUGGAAAGCGCAAUGGAGGAGGAGCUGCACCGCUACGGCACCAUCCUCUUCGGUCUCGCGCAGGAGGCGAACGCGCUGCAGCUUGUCGGUGAGUCGGACCGCGUGAAGUUGAACUCCCUGGCAAAGAUCAUGGCGGCAGGACUGGUGCUCAACGCCCUCGUGCUCCUGACCAUGGCCGCCUACCAGUACGUGUCGCUCUCCCGUUUUCUCGCUUGCCAGGUCCGGCGUGGCAAGUUCAGCAUCUCCACAACGUAGCGUGCGCACAGGCAGCGGGGCGCCCUCCUGUCCUCUGCUGCGUGUGCGUGAAUGUGUAUCAUCGUUGUCUGUGCUGGUGACGUCGGCCUUCUUUUUUCCCCUCCCCCCUCCCCCCUCCUCCCUAUCCCAUCUCCCUCCUCCUCGAUGUCCACUGCUGCCCUCCACCACCACCACCACCGAUGCUGUGAGAGCCGCGACACUUCAUCGGCGAUCCACUCUGCGGACAUCUUGUGUCCUUGGCGAGUGCCGCGUCUUCAAAAGCUGCGGCGCCGCGAGAAAUCCG
rnacentral:misc_RNA from 1 species